rnacentral:rRNA from 1 species
CCCUUAGAUGUCCUGGGCUGCACGCGCGCUACACUGAUGUGUCCAGUAAGCACCUAACCUCUUCCGAAAGGAACGGGUAACCUUUGCAAAGCACAUCAUGAUGGGGAUAGAUUAUUGCAAUUAUUAGUCUUGAACGAGGAAUUCCUAGUAAGCACAAGUCAUCAGCUUGUGUUGAUUACGUCCCUGCCCUUUGUACACACCGCCCGUCGCUCCUACCGAUUGAAUGUUCCGGUGAGCUCUUCGGACUGCGCGGUCUGCAGUUUCUGCGUUCCGUGCGGAAAGUUGCGCAAACCUUAACAUUUAGAGGAAGGAGAAGUCGUAACA